rnacentral:rRNA from 1 species
CCCUUAGAUGUUCUGGGCCGCACGCGUGCUACACUGAGUGGAUCAGCGGGUCAGGUUGCGCGAAAGUGUUUCCUAAUCUUGAAAUCCGCUCGUGAUGGGGAUUGACGGUUGCAAUUUUCCGUCAUGAACGAGGAAUACCUUGUAAGCGCGGGUCAUCAUCCCGCGCUGAAUACGUCCCUGCCCUUUUUACACACCGCCCGUCGCUCCUACCGAUUGAGUGGUCCGGUGAGGCUUUGGGAUCUGAGCGGAAAGAGCGUUUCGCUGUUUCUGCUCGGAAAACUCAGUCGAACCUUAUCAUUUAGAGGAAGGAGAAGUCGUAACA